rnacentral:rRNA from 1 species
AUACGGAGGGUGCAAGCGUUGUCCGGAUUUAUUGGGUUUAAAGGGUGCGUAGGUGGCGUGUUAAGUCAGUGGUGAAAGCCUGCAGCUCAACUGUAGAGGUGCCAUUGAUACUGACAUGCUUGAGUAUGGACGAGGUAGGCGGAAUUUGUGGUGUGGCGGUGAAAUGCAUAGAUACCACAAAGAACACCGAUAGCGAAGGCAGCUUACUGGACCAUAACUGACACUGAGGCACGAAAGUGUGGGUAGCGAACAGGAUUAGAAACCCUAGUAGUCC